UACGGAGGAUCCAAGCGUUAUCCGGAAUUAUUGGGUUUAAAGGGUGCGUAGGCGGCCAUUUAAGUCAGCGGUGAAAUUUUGCAGCUUAACUGUAACAGUGCCGUUGAUACUGGGGAGCUAGGAUUUGGUUGCUGUGGGUGGAAUGUGUGGUGUAGCGGUGAAAUGCUUAGAGAUCACACAGAAUAUCGAUUGCGAAGGCAGCUCACAAAGCCAAGAUUGACGCUGAGGCACGAAAGUGUGGGGAUCGAACAGGAUUAGA
rnacentral:rRNA from 1 species